rnacentral:rRNA from 1 species
UGAACGCUGGCGGCAUGCCUUACACAUGCAAGUCGAACGGCAGCACGGGAGCUUGCUCCUGGUGGCGAGUGGCGGAACGGGUGAGUAAUACAUCGGAACGUACCCAGUAGUGGGGGAUAACGCACCGAAAGGUGCGCUAAUACCGCAUACGACCUAAGGGUGAAAGCGGGGGACCGUAAGGCCUCGCGCUAUUGGAGCGGCCGAUGUCUGAUUAGCUAGUUGGUGAGGUAAAGGCUCACCAAGGCUUCGAUCAGUAGCUGGUCUGAGAGGACGAUCAGCCACACUGGGACUGAGACACGGCCCAGACUCCUACGGGAGGCAGCAGUGGGGAACUUUGGACAAUGGGCGAAAGCCUGAUCCAGCAAUGCCGCGUGUGCGAAGAAGGCCUCGGUUGUAAGCACUUUGUCAGGAAGAAUACUUUAGGUCUAAUACCUUGGAAGGAGUGACGGUACCGUGAAGAAUAAGCACCGGCUAACUACGCGCCAG